ACUUAUCUGCCUGCCUAGGACGCAAGUACCGGGUGCCAAGCUGAGAGCCUGGAUGAUAUUUCACAUGUGCCGGUCCCAAAGGAAUUCCUUAACUCCCCCUUCCUGGAACCGAAAUGCUUCCAAAGACAGAGAGCUCGUAUAUAUAUUUCUCUGUUUUACCCAGCGGACCGUGCAUGAAAGGCGCCUUUCCUGGCGCGUGUGUCUCUGACCCUGUGGAUCUUCUGGACAAUUCCCGGAAUUUCUUGCAGGGUAGCACUUUCCCUUAAGUCGUCUCUUUCUCGUUUGGAUAGUCAGUAUUUGUAUAGUCACUAUUCUCUUUUGGUUAGCCAUCCAAUUUUAUACUGCUAGUCCAGUUCUACUGCCUUCCCCCUAGAGUUUGAAUUUAUUUUUCUUCAAACGCGACACAAACCCAAAUAAACUCAACCAAAGCGGACUUUACCUACCUACCUACCUACUUACCAAGAAAAUAUCCCAUAAAGGAGAGAACAGAGAAGCUUGCAAUACAGGAAGAAAAAAGAAAAGAAUUACAGAAUGGAAGCGAUGUGUGCGCUAAAAAUGCAGUGCUGCUGCUACCUACCAUAAUGUGUUUGUUGCAAGAUCCACAAGAACGUGGAUGCCAAGAAUCCACAAAAAAACAGAUGCAACCGUUGAUGAGGCCAUAAGCAGAAACAACGUGCUAGCAGAAUGUGCUAAUUAGUAAAUAUCUUCUGCCCUGAGAAGAGAGAUGACACGGCAAGAAGAAGGAUGCUAAGUCACACUCAGUUAAGGUUCUGCUGCUAGGAGCCAAAGAGUCAUUCUUUCCUCAUUCCUGUGACCAUCUGCGAGAAAUCAGAACUGUGUCUCCCUCCUGCACGAAUCACAGAGGACAUCCCGAUACAAUAGCCUGGAGUGAUUCCCGCCCCAUUCCCCCCACCCCCACUUUUUUAAAAAGGGAAUCCAGGAAUCGUCCUGCUUCCUGUAGGGAUCAGAAAGAAGGGGCAAAAUAGCACUGCAGGUGGAACUCUGAUUUCUUCCCAGGCUCAUAGAAGCUUUCAGGUAACUGGGGCUUCUCGGGAAAUUAAAAAAAAAAAAUUAAUAAAAUGAACCACACUUACCACCUUUUACUUGUGACUAUCUCAUUUAAUUCUCCACUCAACUGCAUCAGUUUGGUACUACUAUUCCCCUUAUGUUACAUAAAAGGAAUGCUAGGCACAUACAGUUUGAAUUACUUCCCAAUUUCACACCCCUAGAAGGUGGCAGAACUGCCUGGUCAGUCCUGGAGUAGGAACAGAGCGCACAAAAUACAAGAGAUCCUCAACCCGCCAAGACCAAAUGCUGCAAACUCGACAAAGGCUCACUCACCUGGGGCCCAACCCCAUCUUCCACUGCUAGCCGCGGAUGCUCUUCUCGAAGACAAGGAGGGCCGCCGCCAGGCUAAACGAAACAUUGCUGUCUCAGGCCUCACUCAACUUCCUGAAAGGAAUGAUGACCUCACUUUCAUGGAGCGGAAGUGACUGUAGUUACCCACAAUUCCUGGAUUAUAACCCCAGAAUUCCCAAUGAGAUAAUCGUCACAGCCACGCCCUCCUGUAGCGGAAGCCCGGCCGCCUACACAGAGCUCCAAGGUUACUGCUCCCAGAAUCCUCGCAAAGAAUUGGCAAUGUCGUUGCCUUUCUCUGGCGGAAGGCUGGCUACUACCCUUUGAAUUUGGAAUGUAUGUCACACAGUUCUAGAGUAGAAUGCAAACUCAGCACUGUCCUCUUUGAACCAAAAUGUCUCCAAAAACAAGAUUCUAAUUUAUACUUAAUAUUUCCCCCAGAAGCCCAAUCAUUAAAGCCACCUUUCCAGGAACAGAAGUGUUUUUGACACUGUGAAUGCUUUGGACCAGUUUCCAGAAUCCUCUUCAGGUAGUGCUUCUCACCAGCGUUUCCCUUUUUAUUUUGGAUAACUAGGUUCAGUCCGAA
rnacentral:lncRNA from 1 species